rnacentral:rRNA from 1 species
CCNAGGAGUCUAACAUGUGCGCGAGUCAAUGGGAUUGUUAAACCCACAGGCGAAAUGAAAGUGAAGACAGCGGGAUCCGGUGGGGGCUGAAGUGGCAGCCCCGCGGCGCACCGCCGGCCCGUCUCGACCGCAUCGCCGGUGAGGCGGAGCAAGAGCGUACACGUUGGGACCCGAAAGAUGGUGAACUAUGCCUGGGCAGGACGAAGCCAGAGGAAACUCUGGUGGAGGUCCGUAGCGAUUCUGACGUGCAAAUCGAUCGUCGGACCUGGGUAUAGGGGCGAAAGACUAAUCGAACCGUCUA